UCAGACAUUGAUUUCCAAAUAGGUCAGCAUCGGAUUGUUUGGUUGGAAUUUUCGGGGGCUGUUUUGAGCUAUGAGAUGGAAUAACUAAAUUAUUGUUGCUGCCUCUUGCCUAAUGUUAUGCGCCUGAGGUUCCGGGGCUAGAUCUCAACUGCUAGGCCUCAAAUGUAAAUAUAUUUGUGCUUCUCUAUAUUACUAAUCAAUGAAACCAGUAGAGGAUUCAAUUUAUGGUUGGUGCAUACUUGAGAGGUUGGUGCAUAUAUGCAU